GAGAGCCUUGGUGAACUCUUUCUAGGAGAUCUGCGGACUGAGAUCACUCGCUACUCGUCCAGAGCGCGUAUACGAGAGCAACGUAUCGGAAGAUGGCGUAAGGUCCCAGGGGGGUCCAUCGCGUCAAGUCAGGCUAACCUGACAGCAGUGAACUGCACAGUAGAGGCGGAGGGCAGAGGAAUCCUGGGUAGCGUGAAUGGUAGAGAUCAGAAGACACCGUGCGAAAGCGUCUGUAGCCGCAAUGACAUCAGGACGAAAGUAGGGAGCGAAUGGGAUAGAUACCCCAGUAGUCCUACCGUAACGAUGGAUAUAGGGUAGCUGGAUCGACCCGAGCUGUGCCGGAGCUAACGCGUAAGUAUCCCGCCUGGGAGUACGCGGCAAGCGGAAACUCAAAGGAAUGACGGGGCCCGCACAAGCGGUGGAGUAUGUGGUUAAUUCGAUGCAACGCGAAGAACCUUACCAGGGCUGACAGUCCGGAACCCUGCGAAAGGGGGGGGCCUACGGGAACCGGAACACAGGUGGUGCAUGGCGUCGUCAGCUCGGUCGGAGAUGUGGGUUAAGUCCCGCAGCGAGCGCAACCCUCGUGCUUAGUUGCCAGCGGGUAAUGCCGGGCACUCUAAGGAGACUGCCGGUGACAAACCGGAGGAAGGUGGGGAUGACGUCAAGUCAGCAUGCCCCUUACGUCCUGGGCGACACACGUACUACAAUGCUGCGGACAAAGGGCAGCAAGCCAGCAAUGGCAAGCAAAUCCCAUAAACCGUGGCUCAGUUCAGAUCGCAGGCUGCAACUCGCCUGCGUGAAGGCGGAAUCGCUAGUAAUCGCCGGUCAGCCAUACGGCGGUGAAUACGUUCCCGGGCCUUGUACACACCGCCCGUCACAUUAAGGAAGCUGACUAAACGGGGAGUCGGUCACCGUAUCCGCAAAAUCAGGGGGACGCGAAAGACAGGGUACGGCGGUCUGGGAAACAGUCGAAGCCAGGAUCCU
rnacentral:rRNA from 1 species